AUCUUGAGCAUUUGAUUAACCCUGUCAUUUUAACUGAAUUUACAGUGGAAGAGCAGAGCAUAUAGAAUGAUAUGUACAUUGAAAUAGCAGAAAUUGUAUAUAAAUAGUUUAGGUGAUAUAAAAAAAGUGCGAACAUAAUGAGAGAUGAUGAAUUUAAAUGGCAUGGGUAUUGAAUAUACUAUAAAUCAUUACACUUGAAAUUGUUUAAUUUUACAGACCAACUGCUUUUAAUGUGAGGUGAAUGGUACUUGUAUGUUUAUGCAACUACUUGAAAACAUUUUAUUUUGUUUACAUAUUUGAC